CCUCCUCGAGGGGGACAACAGUUGGAAACGACUGCUAAUACCGCAUACGAUCCAAUCUCGGCAUCGAGACUGGAUGAAAGGUGGCCUCUAUUUAUAAGCUAUCACUGAAGGAGGGGAUUGCGUCUGAUUAGCUAGUUGGAGGGGUAACGGCCCACCAAGGCGAUGAUCAGUAGCCGGUCUGAGAGGAUGAACGGCCACAUUGGGACUGAGACACGGCCCAG
rnacentral:rRNA from 1 species